AGCAAUCAGGGUCUGGAGGCUGCUUCAGGAUCACAGAGUGGACCACGAGGCGCUGGUGAUGCUCCCAGGGCUGGACUGACGCCGGGGUGACCACAGGAGGAGCUGGGAUCAAAGUCGCGCUGAACGACUUCCCAAACAUGCUUGGCUUCUUCAUCGGAAUGUAAACAGGGAGCAAGAUGACAAGACCGAAGAGGAAAACUAUUCUGCCUGGUGGGACUAAAAUCCCUGCUGCUCACCCAGGGGUACAGGGAAUUAUCCACCCUGGUAACUCACUUAAAACAAAGAUUAGAUUAAACUAUGAACAGAGCCAGAAAAGCAUUUUGAAUCGCAAUUAGGAUAGAUUUUGUGCAGGAAAGGCGAUGACUAGAGAUGCAGUGUUUGAGCUUUGGAUAUGGGGAAUGCAUGAUCUUCUCUGGAAGCCAGAAAUUGAUUUCCAGCUCCUCGUCCAGCAGAGGUCCCGACAAAAGCAAUCGGUUUAUUGGCAGGAACCAGCCAUCAGUUGGGCAGGUCCUUAUGUAAGCGUGCUUGAGAGCCCUUGCGCCCCACUGCACCCGAACAGGGAGCGGUCAAUAGCCACUAAUUAACAUCACAACCAGACCCUGUCCCAGGGCCUCCCGCUGCAGCCCC